AUUGAACGCUGGCGGCAGGCCUAACACAUGCAAGUCGAACGGUAACAGGAAGAAGCUUGCUUCUUUGCUGACGAGUGGCGGACGGGUGAGACAUGUCUGGGAAACCGCUUGAUGUAGGGGGAUAACUACUGGAAACGGUAGCUAAUACCGCAUAGCGUCGCAAGACCAAAGAGGGGGACCUUGGGGCCGCGUGCCAGCGGAUGUGCGCAGAUGGGAUGAGCUGGUAGGUGGGGUAACGACUCACCUAGGCGACUAUCCCUACCUGGUCUGAGAGGGUGGCCGGCCACCCUGGAACUGGGACACGGUCCAGACUCCUGCGGGAGGGCGCAGUGGGGAAUGUUGCGCAGUAGGCGGGAGCCUGGUGCAGCCGUGCCGCGUGUAAGAAGACAGCCUUCGGGUUGUAAAGUACUUUCAGCGGGGAGGAAGGGAGUACAGUUAAUACCUUGGCUCAUUGACGUUACCCGCAGAAGAAGCACCGGCUAACUACGUG
rnacentral:rRNA from 1 species